rnacentral:rRNA from 1 species
UACGGAGGAUGCAAGCGUUAUCCGGAUUCAUUGGGUUUAAAGGGUGCGCAGGCGGGCUUGUAAGUCAGUGGUGAAAUACUGCCGCUUAACGGUAGAACUGCCAUUGAUACUGCAAGUCUUGAAUAUGGUUGAGGUAGGCGGAAUGUGUCGUGUAGCGGUGAAAUGCAUAGAUAUGACACAGAACGCCAAUUGCGAAGGCAGCUUACUAAGCCAUUAUUGACGCUGAGGCACGAAAGCGUGGGGAGCGAACAGGAUUAGAUACCCGAGUA